GUCAUGCUUGUAGGGUGCAGGGAAGGAGGGAACAAGAGCAGCCUAGGCGGUCACAAUAGAGUAAUGACUCCCAGUUGCUAAGUGCCCACUGAAUGCUGUCUCUGAUCCUUGGCUUUACAGACUGAACAACCAAGGUUCAAAGAAGUGAGGUAACCUCCUAAAGGCCAGAACUAGAGACCCUCUGGGGAACUAGCCUUUCAGGAUGCCACCCCACCUCACAGUACCUUUGGCCCCGCCCCUGCCUGGGGUCCUGGAAUCCGAGAGGCUCCGCCCCCAGCACCCUGCCAGGCCCCCUGGACACCUCACCUUGAUCUCAGCCAGCUUCGUGCCCCGGCUGCAGUCCCACACCG